rnacentral:tRNA from 1 species
GGACAUAUAGCUCUAAUCGGCAGAGCGCCCGCGUCGACAACGGUGUCGACGCAAUGGGAGGCUGCGGGUUCGAGUCCCGCUGUGUCCG